UUGGAUGUUGCAGCUCGUAGAGGGUAUUUUUGCUCUGUUCAGCAAAGUGCUGACGUGGGGGCCAGGGCACUGGCAGCACAGCGGGUGGAAGAAGCGCGGGUUCGGUUCUAGAACCUUCCAUACUUCCGAGUUUACGGCGAGUUUUUAUGCUUGAGAGAGAUGCUUUAUAGUAUAAGAAUGACGUGUUGAUUUUACUGAUUGUACUGUACAUCUAUUAAAGCCUUAGAUUAUUACAUUACGGGUUACAACCCAUACCAAUGUAAUUUCAAUCGUGUUAAGAAAGUAUAGGUGACUUCACAUGUUAUCGUAGUUACUCGACAUUAUAGACUAUUACUUCUUUUUUUCUCGUUAAAAGUGUAGUUUCUC
rnacentral:misc_RNA from 1 species